UACGAAGGGGGCUAGCGUUGCUCGGAAUUACUGGGCGUAAAGCGCGCGUAGGCGGAUCUGCAAGUCGGGGGUGAAAUCCCGAGGCUCAACCUCGGAACUGCCUUCGAUACUGCGGGUCUCGAGUCCGGGAGAGGUGAGUGGAAUUCCUAGUGUAGAGGUGAAAUUCGUAGAUAUUAGGAAGAAUACCAGUGGCGAAGGCGUUCUGCUGGGCCGUUGCUGACACUGAGGCACGAAGGCCAGGGGAGCAAACGGG
rnacentral:rRNA from 1 species